rnacentral:lncRNA from 1 species
UUCUUUGUACCUCUAGUAGAAUUCGGCUCUGAAUUUGGUUCCACUCUCCCCAUCACUUUCAGGUACACCAACCAAAGACAUUGUUGUCUUUGGGACCAAUACAUUUCUUCUAUCUGCAUAUCUGGGUAGAAGCUCUCAUGGAAGAAAAAAGAAAAGCCCCAUAGGUGAAGGGGAGUGUGCCUGCCAAGUUCCUUGUAAUAACUUCACACGCAGAGUAUUUUCUGAAAUGGAUCUGCUAGAGUCAUCUCAUGGAAUCUUCUCAUUCUUCUGGAGUCUCCUCAUUUUACAGACGCUGAAGGAAAAACACCAGCUGAGGAAGAAUGAAGAACUGCCUGUUCUAAGUUAUUCUCCUUCUGUGGUCAUUCGAGCACCAGGAAGACCAGGUUUGCCCCAUCAAGUACCUCAAGAAAGAAGUCAAUUACCUAAAGAAGUCAAGCAAAGAGGAAAGGACAAAAUGAAAAUCAUGUACCAGGGUACACGUCGAGGCUCCAAGCUGGAAUGAAUAUGGCCUUCAACAUACUCUUUAUCAUACAGAAGCUUGUGUUCAGGGCUUGGAUUUUGAAGUCAGACAGACCUGGAUUAAAAACCAAUUCAACUACCUAUUACAUAUGUGACCUAGGAAAAACAUCCAGGCAAGUGGACAGCAUUUGCAACAGCCCAGCAAUAAGAAGGACCAUAUUCUACUUGGGAAAAGGUAAAGUCGUUUCAUAUGGACGGAGCCUGCCAGGAAACCUGUCAUUCAACCCUUUGCAAUAAAACAGCUCCUCAUGAAUGAAGCAAAAUAAAUCAGAAGUUGUGGGCUUUUAAACUCACUAAAUGAAAGCACAGCAUGCAUGCAGCCUCCCUCCAAAUUAAUCACCAGAUUAAAUGCAAGAUGUGCACACCAAAUCAAUAGCUUGUGACGGGGACCUCCUGCCUGUGCUUCAGGAAAAUUCCAUUUCCUUUCAGAUGUUGUCGCUUGAAAUGUCAGGAAGUUUCCAUUCAUCACCCGCCCUUGAAAAUGCCACCAUCACCAUACUUCAUGUUUCCUUGCUUUCUUUCUUCAGAGGAAUCCAAGCACCUUGCAGAGGGAGCCCACUCCUUGUCACAG